GUGUUUGCAUAUGUGUCCUGCCUCUCUGCUCACAGCUGUUAAGAGGCCAGUGUUGAUCAGUGGCUGUCCAUGCCUUUCAGAGCCACUCACACACCAGCAGCACAAUGAUGAUGUCACUGACUCUACUGCUGGCCACCCUGGGGCUCCUUGUUCAGGGUUCAUCAGCAGAAAUCAUCCUGACUCAGACUCCUAAAGUUCAGUCUGUUGUUCUAGGACAGACUGUCUCUAUCAGAUGUGAAGCCAGUUCAAGUAUGGGUAACUACCUCCACUGGUAUCUUCAGAAACCAUCAGAAGCUCCUAAACUGCUCGUUUAUUAUGCAACAAACCGUCAGUCUGGAGUUUCUGAUCGUUUCAGUGGAAGUGGAUCUGGGACUGACUUCACUUUGACCAUCAGCAGAGUUCAGGCUGAAGAUGCAGGAGUUUAUUACUGUGGACAAAGUGGUUACAGCACUCCGUUCACACAGUGAAAAACUGUCGUACAAAAACCUCUCAGCUGAAGAGGAACUGAUCUGAAGCAACAGCUGCAGAACAAACUCAAAGACUGGGAGGAACGAUUAUUUUAACAUUUACUGUGAAAUUUCAUUUG